AAAAUGCGAUACUUAAUGCGAUCUGCAUGAACCUGUGAGUCAUCUAGUCUUUGAACGCAACUUGCGCCGCUCUGCGGCAUGUCUGUUUGAGCACCAUAAUAUACUCACUGUCGUAAGACAACUUGUCUGGAUUGUUGAGCCAGAUUAAAAAUAGUAUAUCAAUUAGUAUUGUUAUGGUGCGCGGAGCACACCGAGUUAGAGGCCUCUUGGUCUUGUCGGUAAUGCCCCGUGUGCUUAAUAACACACACCAAUUUUGGUCUCAAAUCAGGCAAGACUACCCGCUGAACUUAA
rnacentral:misc_RNA from 1 species